rnacentral:rRNA from 1 species
AGUGAACGCUGGCGGUAGGCCUAACACAUGCAAGUCGAACGGCAGCACAGUAAGAGCUUGCUCUUACGGGUGGCGAGUGGCGGACGGGUGAGGAAUACAUCGGAAUCUACUUUUUCGUGGGGGACAACGUAGGGAAACUUACGCUAAUACCGCAUACGACCUACGGGUGAAAGCAGGGGAUCUUCGGACCUUGCGCGAUUGAAUGAGCCGAUGUCGGACUAGCUAGUUGGCGGGGUAAAGGCCCACCAAGGCGACGAUCCGUAGCUGGUCUGAGAGGAUGAUCAGCCACACUGGAACUGAGACACGGUCCAGACUCCUACGGGAGGCAGCAGUGGGGAAUAUUGGACAAUGGGCGCAAGCCUGAUCCAGCCAUACCGCGUGGGUGAAGAAGGCCUUCGGGUUGUAAAGCCCUUUUGUUGGGAAAGAAAAGCAGCAGGUUAAUACCCCGCUGUUCUGACGGUACCCAAAGAAUAAGCGCCGGCUAACUUCGUG